rnacentral:rRNA from 1 species
GGGCUCACACAAGCGGUGGAGCAUGUGGCUCAAUUCGAAGCAACGCGAAGAACCUUAUCCUGGGUUUGACAUGUACGGAUUAGUCCGCUGAAAGGCGGAUGACACUCUUGUAGUGGAACGUACACAGGUGCUGCAUGGCUGUCGUCAGCUCGUGCUGUGAAGUGUCGCGUUAAGUCGCUUAACGAGCGAAACCCCUAUCACUAGUUGCCAACGGGUCAUGCCGGGGACUCUAGUGAGACUGCCGGUGUUAAACCGGAGGAAGGUGGGGAUGACGUCAAGUCCUCAUGGCCUUUAUGCCCAGGGCUGCACACGUGCUACAAUGGUGCGAACAGAACGAUGCAAGACCGCAAGGUGGAGCAAAUCGCUUAAAUCGCACCCCAGUUCGGAUUGAGGGCUGCAACCCGCCCUCAUGAAGUCGGAAUCGCUAGUAAUCGCGGAUCAGCUACGCCGCGGUGAAUAUGUUCCUGAGCCUU